CUAUAACUGGUCUUGGCCAGUACAAGGCCAGGCUGGGGCAUAUUUCCACCUUUAUCUCACUCUUUGUCUUUGUACUAGAGGGAACAUUAUAAGCUUGACUGGCAUCGGUUUAACCUAAAGCAACGUCUCAAGGACAAGCCUCUCCUGUCUGCCCUGGACUUUGAAAAGCAGAGCUCCACAGGAGAUCUUUCCAGCAUCUCAGGAUCAGAAGACUCAGACUCAGCCAGUGAGGAGGACUUGCAGACACUGGAUCGGGAGAGGGCUACAUUUGAGAAGUUUAGCCGACCCCAAGGCUUUUACCCUCAUCGAGUUCUUUUCCAGAAUGCCCAGGGCCAGUUUCUUUAUGCCUACCGCUGUGUCCUAGGCCCUCAUCAGGCAAGUGACAGUACAGGUUGUAUGGCUAACCCCAGCCUUUUGUACACCCAGCCUAGAUUUCCCUAAACCUAAUGCAUUUCUCCCUGCUUUUCUUCCUUCCUGUUGGGUGUGGGUAUCACGCUUGACAACAUAGUCUUGAAUUGAAACUGGCCUGAAUUGUGGAAGGGUUAAGUGUAAUGGCAUUAAGUUUGGAAAC
rnacentral:sRNA from 1 species